rnacentral:rRNA from 1 species
GGGGUAAUUUUGGACAAUGGGCGCAAGCCUGAUCCAGCAAUGCCGCGUGCAGGAUGAAGGCCUUCGGGUUGUAAACUGCUUUUGUACGGAACGAAACGGCUCUCUUUAAUAAAGGGGGCUAAUGACGGUACCGUAAGAAUAAGCACCGGCUAACUACGUGCCAGCAGCCGCGGUAAUACGUAGGGUGCGAGCGUUAAUCGGAAUUACUGGGCGUAAAGCGUGCGCAGGCGGUUAUAUAAGACAGAUGUGAAAUCCCCGGGCUCAACCUGGGACCUGCAUUUGUGACUGUAUAGCUAGAGUACGGUAGAGGGGGAUGGAAUUCCGCGUGUAGCAGUGAAAUGCGUAGAUAUGCGGAGGAACACCGAUGGCGAAGGCAAUCCCCUGGACCUGUACUGACGCUCAUGCACGAAAGCGUGGGGAGCAAACAGGAU